ensembl:Mt_tRNA
AAGGUCCUAGCUUAAUUAAAGUGUCCGAGUUGCGUUUGGGAGAUGCAGGGUAAUGUCCUGCGGACUUUA